rnacentral:rRNA from 1 species
AGUGAACGCUGGCGGCAGGCCUAACACAUGCAAGUCGAACGGCAGCACAGUAAGAGCUUGCUCUUACGGGUGGCGAGUGGCGGACGGGUGAGGAAUACAUCGGAAUCUACUUUUUCGUGGGGGAUAACGUAGGGAAACUUACGCUAAUACCGCAUACGACCUACGGGUGAAAGCAGGGGAUCUUCGGACCUUGCGCGAUUGAAUUAGCCGAUGUCGGAUUAGCUAGUUGGCGGGGUAAAGGCCCACCAAGGCGACGAUCCGUAGCUGGUCUGAGAGGCGGAUCAGCCACAUUGGAACUGAGACACGGUCCAGACUCCUACGGGAGGCCGCAGUGGGGAAUAGUGGACAAUGGGCGCAAGCCUGAUCCAGCCAUACCGCGUGGGUGAAGAAGGCCUUCGGGUUGUAAAGCCCUUUUGUUGGGAAAGAAAAGCAGCAGGUUAAUACCCCGCUGUUCUGACGGUACCCAAAGAAUAAGCACCGGCUAACUUCGUG